UACAGAGGUCUCAAGCGUUGUUCGGAUUCAUUGGGCGUAAAGGGUGCGUAGGUGGCGCUGUAAGUCGGGUGUGAAAUUUCGGAGCUUAACUCCGAAACUGCAUUCGAUACUGCGGUGCUUUGAGGACUGGAGAGGAGACUGGAAUUCAUGGUGUAGCAGUGAAAUGCGUAGAGAUCAUGAGGAAGACCAGUGGCGAAGGCGGGGUCUCUGGACAGUUCCUGACACUGAGGCACGAAGGCCAGGGGAGCAAACGGGG
rnacentral:rRNA from 1 species